rnacentral:rRNA from 1 species
UUAAGUCCGUAACGAGCGCAACCCUGUCCUUAGUUACCAGCACGUUAUGGUGGGCACUCUAAGGAGACUGCCGGUGACAAACCGGAGGAAGGUGGGGGAUGACGUCAAGUCAUCAUGGCCCUUACGGCCUGGGCUACACACGUGCUACAAUGGUCGGUACAAAGGGUUGCCAAGCCGCGAGGUGGAGCUAAUCCCAUAAAACCGAUCGUAGUCCGGAUCGCAGUCUGCAACUCGACUGCGUGAAGUCGGAAUCGCUAGUAAUCGUGAAUCAGAAUGUCACGGUGAAUACGUUCCCGGGCCUU